rnacentral:RNase_P_RNA from 2 species
AGAGUGAGCGAGGCGGUUGCGGAUUCAAAUUGAAUCUGAGGAAAGUCCGGACUCCCAAAAACCCAGACUUGCUGGAUAACGCCCAGUGCGCGUGAGCGUGAGGAUAGUGCCACAGAAAAAUACCGCCUGGAGAGGUGCGGGGUAUGGGGUAUGAGGUGCGAGAUGUAAAAAAUCUCCCUCAUACCUCACACCUCAUACCUCACACCUCUUCCGGGUAAGGGUGCAAAGGUGCGGUAAGAGCGCACCAGCAGUAUCGAGAGGUACUGGCUCGGUAAACCCCGGUCGGGAGCAAGGUCGGACGAAACAAGGGUUGGGUUUUUUCCUGUUUCGGCUGUUCACUAACUUCUUCGGAAGUUCUGUGAGCGAGAACCGCUUGAGGUUGGAGGUAACUUCAAUCCCAGAUAGAUAACUGCCCUUUGUUGCAUUGAGCAACACAAGAACAGAAUCCGGCUUAUGUCUAACUCUUCUC